rnacentral:rRNA from 1 species
UGCAACUCGACUGCAUGAAGCUGGAAUCGCUAGUAAUCGCGGAUCAGAAUGCCGCGGUGAAUACGUUCCCGGGUCUUGUACACACCGCCCGUCACACCAUGGGAGUCGGAUAUGCCCGAAGUCAGUGACCCAACCGCAAGGAGGGAGCUGCCGAAGGUGGAGCCGAUGACUGGGGUGAAGUCGUAACAAGGUAUC